rnacentral:rRNA from 1 species
CUACAUAUCAAUAAGCGGAGGAAAAGACACAGGGAUUGCCCUAGUAACGGCGAGUGAAGCGGCAACAGCUCAAAUUUGAAAUCUGGCUCUUUUAGAGUCCGAGUUGUAAUUUGCAGAGGGCGCUUUGGCUUUGGCAGCGGUCCAAGUUCCUUGGAACAGGACGUCACAGAGGGUGAGAAUCCCGUACGUGGUCGCUGGCUAUUGCCGUGUAAAGCCCCUUCGACGAGUCGAGUUGUUUGGGAAUGCAGCUCUAAAUGGGAGGUACAUUUCUUCUAAAGCUAAAUAUUGGCCAGAGACCGAUAGCGCACAAGUAGAGUGAUCGAAAGAUGAAAAGCACUUUGGAAAGAGAGUCAAACAGCACGUGAAAUUGUUGAAAGGGAAGCGCUUGCAGCCAGACUUGCUUACAGUUGCUCAUCCGGGUUUCUACCCGGUGCACUCUUCUGUAGGCAGGCCAGCAUCAGUUUGGGCGGUAGGAUAAAGGUCUCUGUCACGUACCUCCUUUCGGGGAGGCCUUAUAGGGGAGACGACAUACUACCAGCCUGGACUGAGGUCCGCGCAUCUGCUAGGAUGCUGGCGUAAUGGCUGUAAGCGGCCCGUCUUGAAACACGGACCAAGGAGUCUAACAUCUAUGCGAGUGUUUGGGUGUCAAGCCCGAGCGCGUAAUGAAAGUGAACGGAGGUGGGAACCCGCAAGGGUGCACCAUCGACCGAUCCUGAUGUCUUCGGAAGGAUUUGAGUAAGAGCAUGGCUGUUGGGACCCGAAAGAUGGUGAACUAUGCUUGAAUAGGGUGAAGCCAGAGGAAACUCUGGUGGAGGCUCGCAGCGGUUCUGACGUGCAAAUCGAUCGUCAAAUUUGGGCAUAGGGGCGAAAGACUAAUCGAACUAUCUAGUAGCUGGUUCCUGCGAG